rnacentral:rRNA from 1 species
UCGGGUGUGACUGCGUACCUUUUGUAUAAUGGGUCAGCGACUUAUAUUCUGUAGCAAGGUUAACCGUAUAGGGGAGCCGCAGGGAAACCGAGUCUUAACUGGGCGUUAAGUUGCAGGGUAUAGACCCGAAACCCGGUGAUCUAGCCAUGGGCAGGUUGAAGGUUGGGUAACACUAACUGGAGGACCGAACCGACUAAUGUUGAAAAAUUAGCGGAUGACUUGUGGCUGGGGGUGAAAGGCCAAUCAAACCGGGAGAUAGCUGGUUCUCCCCGAAAGCU